AGCAGAAGGGAGGCUAGGAGUGACACCUCUCGGUCAGGCCAAGCGACGGAGUUAUCCCAAAAGGAACCCGGAGGCAGUUGUGCAGCUUGGCUUCUUCCAUCUCCUUGGCUCCCCUUCCAACCUGUGGAUCAAGGACAAGCUGAGCUGUAAGAAACCUGUUUGAUGGAGGAACAUUCAAGGCCGGGGCUGCUGAGACUUGGCUCUUCUCCUGCCAGAAAUCCCCCCUGAAGCUGCCGUGGACCCCCAAAGAAGCCACAGAAGUUUUUGCUAAGUGUUAGCCCGGCUUAGCUGACUCUGGGGACCAGGAGGAAAGAGGGGAGCAGAAGCACCCCUCGAGGAACCAAGAGGACCACCCCUCAGGUGACAAGCCUGAGAAAAUGCUUCCAGCCCAAUGCAUUCUGGUGCUAAAGCAAAACACGAACAGGCCAUACAGCAGCCUGUGACGAGGCACAGAUGACCAGGCCCUGCUCAGGACAGCAGCCUGCAAUGCAUCAGUCACUCCCAGUACUGCUCUGAAGCCAAAGCCUCCCAGAUGUCCUCGCAAUUUGUUGAAGCAGCCAAUUAAGCCCUACUCUGCUGAAGAAGGACUCGGCUAGAGUGUGGGAAACCUAGCCUUUGCGGGGGAAACCCAGCCAGCCAGACCUUUUCUCCAAACCCUCCUAUUUUUAAAAAGAGACGAGAACAUACCAGGGCAUUAACCAUCACCAAAUGAAGCUCAGCAACACCACCCAAAUGUCUGGUAAACACUCAGUGUGUAAAACUCUACAUUGAGUCUACAACUCAAGAGCUACAGCCAUUUUCAUUUUUAAGAAAAGGAUUUACCUUGUAGAAGAUCAGAAGAGAGCCUCCCACUCCUCCUGAAAGCCCGGCUGCUCUGACUCAGCUCCCUGCUGCACCUGAUCGUUACACACCCUAACCAAAUCCUCAGCCUCUAGCAGGAGGAAAGCCCUUAAAGGGACGCCACCCUCUUCCUCCUCCCUGCAGGACCAUCCUGCACAAACACAGCACCACUUGCUGGACCCCAGAACUCUCCUCCCUUCCUGAGUAUACCAUGAAGGGGUUCCCAGAGGCAGGUCUCUCCAUCAAGGGGAGCCCGUGCAAAUCCUCCUUGGGACCAGGAGGAAAGAGGGAUGCAGAGGCACCCCUGGGAAAACCAACAGAGGAAACCCUCAGCUGCCUCCCCAGACACUUUACUGAGCUCUGGAAGCAUUUCUGCUCUUGUUUAGCACUACCCCGGCUUAACGCUGCCUGGGUGCUGGGGCCAAAAGCAUGCAUGCCGCAUUGGGAUGUCAGCCAUUCACAUCAGAAGUGAAAUAUUGGAAUGAAAAAUGGUCUGCUGAGCUCAGCUCCCUGGGUGACUCUGGGCCAGUCAUGUCUCUCUCAGCCUAACCCACCUCGCAGGGUUGUUGUGAGGAUAAAAAUAACCAUGUAUGUCUGGGCUCCUUGGAGGAAGAGUGGGAUAUAAAUGUGAAAAAUAAAAUAUAAAAUGGGAUGGUAUAGAUCUCAUUAAGAACUACUGUCCUGCUUGGAGGAGUAUUUUGAAAAUCUGCCCCAACUAUGUGAUUAGGUUGGUUUUGAGUAGUCUCUCAGAGAUGCAAAGUUUCUGAGAAGUUAUAUAAAUAUUAUUUAUUAUUAUGAUUAUUAAUAUCUUGAAAGAGUGAGGAUUUUGCUAUCAUAGAUAUAUGCUAGAUAUUUCUCAACCCCUUUGAUGCUCCUCUGCUAGCAUCUGAAGAUGGGCUUGCCACUUAAACUAACACAGAGAUUUGUAAAAGAAAGAACUCACCACUGGUGGCUUCUGAAACCUUUUCUGUCAGUUUCUUAGCUUUGAGUUUUGUAAUCACUUUGGAAUUUUGCAAUGUAUGUUUGGAAAGAAGGAAAUACACUCUUUGUUUUGUUUAUUGA